ACCCUUGUGGAGGAGGACGCCGAAGGUGGGGCUAAUGACUGGGGUGAAGUCGUAACAAGGUAGCCGUACCGGAAGGUGCGGCUGGAUCACCUCCUAACAGGGAGACAACAAAAUGUUUAAUAUUAUUAUUUUGUCACCUUAGGUCGAUCGGUAUCUCACGUUUUUAAUUUAUUAAGAAUUUCAUUUCCUAAGUUUUUCUAGGUCACACCCAUUAUUUUUCCUGGGCCAUUAGCUCAGGUGGUUAGAGCGCACCCCUGAUAAGGGUGAGGUCCCUGGUUCAAGUCCAGGAUGGCCCAUAUCUCUAUGUUGGGGGUAUAGCUCAGUUGGUAGAGCGCCUGCUUUGCAAGCAGGAUGUCAGCGGUUCGAGUCCGCUUACCUCCACUGAUUACCACCUCUUCCAUAUCCGGUAGAAAGGAAAUGUUUUGAGUUGUGAUCAAAUUCUGAAAGAAUCUAGCUUCCUAAUGAAAUCAUUAAGAUGCUGGACUCAUUGAAUUAAUUUCAUUGUUUUCAGAGAACCUUGACAACUGCAUAGAUUAUUUUUAAAGACAAUAAGCAUCUUUAAUGAUGCAGAUUUAUUAUUUGUGCGAACGCAUUAAUAACAAUUCUAUUAAGCUGAUGCUUCAAUUUUUGAAGUUAUUGGUCAAGCUACAAAGGGCUCACGGAGGAUACCUAGGCACACAGAGGCG
rnacentral:misc_RNA from 1 species